CCUCCAUAGGAGGUCGCAAGGUCUCUAUCUUACUUUAUGCCGACGAUAUGGUUUUAAUCUCGUACACUAAAAUUGGACUCCAAAGGAUGCUCUUAAAGCUGAGCACAUAUUGCAAGCAGGAGUAUCUGAACAUAAAUCAUGAGAAAUCCAAAAUAAUGGUCUUUGGUAAGACGAGAUUAAAAUCGAGUUGGCACAUAGAUAAAUGUAGGGUCGAGCAGUGUUUAUCUUUCAAGUAUCUAGGCGUAUUCUUCCAAAAUUCCUUGAGCUGGAAUGUUCAUCUUAAAUCCAUUUGUUUAUCUGCAAAAAGGCUAGUAGGUGUUAUACUAAAAUUCUUUUAUUCAAGGGGAGGCGAGUUGGUUGGGCCAGUUUUAAAAAUCUUUUUAAGUAAAGUCAUUCCACAUAUGCUUUAUGGUAUCGAGAUAUGGGGAUGGGACGAUAGGAGAAUAAACAAAUUAGAAACAAUUCAAAAUUACUUCCUGAGAAGAAUUCUUGGGCUCCCUCAAGCCACUCCAGCUUGCUUGCUACGUAUGGAAGUAGGCGUGCCCUCAGUAGCAGUCAGGGNACAUCUUGCCCUUUUAAGAUUUCAUAAAAGACUUUCUAGCCUACCCGACGACCAGAUAGCAAAAAUCUGUUAUCAAUAUUAUCAGAGAAAGCAGAUAUGGAAGGACAACUUUGCAGGAAUAAUUCAACUAUAUCACCUGCCCCCUUUGGAGACAAUCCUAACCUGGGAUACCAACAAAAUGCGGGAUCACCUGCUGAACUGUGAUGCUUCCAGGGAUGCUGAGUGCACAAAACAAUCUAAAUUUGCCAAAUGGUACCCCAAGUUUAAGAAACACAAAAUUGGGGCCAACUACCUUUUAAGUAUAGUAAAUGCACCCCUUAGGAAAGCUUUCACUUCUGUGCGUUUCCAAACUCUUCCUAUCAUGCACACCAUAGGUCGUUAUCAAAAUAUCCCAAGAAGCCAACGUACCUGCAUUUGCAAUCCANCCAGGGUUGAGGAUAUUGUACAUUUUAUUUUAUACUGCCCUCUUUAUGACUCCAUAAGGACUAAUCUCCUUGGUGGAAUUAUAUGUAAUUACACGCGACCAGAG
rnacentral:lncRNA from 1 species